ACAGAUCACCAUAUCACCCUGCAGCCCAAGACUGGUUGCCCACUGACGCUAAGCAGGGUUGAGCCUGGUCAGUACCUGGAUGGGAGACCUCCUGGGAAAACUAGGUUGCUGUU
ensembl:rRNA 5S_rRNA 5S ribosomal RNA